rnacentral:rRNA from 1 species
AUGAACGCUGGCGGCGUGCCUAAUACAUGCAAGUCGAGCGGAAAGGCCUCUUCGGAGGUACUCGAGCGGCGGACGGCUGAGUAACACGUAGGAACAUACCCCAAACUGAGGGAUAAGCACCAGAAAUGGUGUCUAAUACCGCAUGUGAUCUUCGGAUUAAAGCUUCGGCGGUUUGGGAAUGGCCUGCGCAUGAUUAGCUUGUUGGUGAGGUAAUAGCUCACCAAGGCGACGAUCAUUAGCUGGUCUGAGAGGAUGACCAGCCAGACUGGAACUGAGAACGGUCCAGACUCCUACGGGAGGCAGCAGUAGGGAAUUUUCCACAAUGGACGAAAGUCUGAUGGAGCAACGCCGCGUGCAGGAUGAAGGCUCUUGGGUCGUAAACUGCUUUUAUAUGUGACGAUUAUGACGGUAGCAUAUGAAUAAGGAUCGGCUAACUCCGU